rnacentral:rRNA from 1 species
CAAUAGCGUAUAUUAAAGUUGUUGCAGUUAAAAAGCUCGUAGUUGGAUUUCUGGCCGAGUGUCCCUAGGCCAGCUUGACGUUUGGUCCUAGGCGCUCUGCCAUCCUUCUGUUAACCUUCGCCUCGUUCACUCGUGGCGCUGGGGCUCAGAUAUUUUACCUUGAGAAAAUUAGAGUGUUUCAGGCAGGCUUUCGCCGGAAUACAUUAGCAUGGAAUAAUGGAAAAGGACUUCAACCUCUUCUGUUGGUCUGAGAGGCUGUAGUAUGAUAAUAGGGAGUAUUGGGGGUCGGAUUCGUUAUUUAACUUAGUCAGAGGUGGAAAUUACUUUGGUAGUUUGUUUAAAGUAACGGACGU